GGGCGGAUAGCUCAGUAGGGAGAGCGCCGGCCUUACAAGCCGGAGGUCGCAGGUUCAAUCCCUGUUCCGCCUACCA
rnacentral:tRNA from 1 species